rnacentral:rRNA from 1 species
UACAGAGGGUGCGAGCGUUAAUCGGAAUUACUGGGCGUAAAGCGCGCGUAGGUGGUUGUGUAAGUCGAGUGUGAAAGCCCCGGGCUCAACCUGGGAACUGCAUUCGAGACUGCAUUACUAGAGUAUGGGAGAGGGCAGUGGAAUUUCCGGUGUAGCGGUGAAAUGUGUAGAUAUCGGAAGGAACAUCAGUGGCGAAAGCGACUGCCUGGCCCAAUACUGACGCUCAUGUGCGAAAGCGUGGGGAGCAAACAGG